GCCUGGGUGGCUCAGUCGGUUGAGCGUCCGACUUCAGCUCAGGUCACGAUCUCACGGUUCGUGAGUUCGAGCCCCACGUCGGGCU
rfam:Felis catus isolate Cinnamon breed Abyssinian chromosome B1, whole genome shotgun sequence.